rnacentral:rRNA from 1 species
UACGAAGGGGGCUAGCGUUGCUCGGAAUCACUGGGCGUAAAGCGCACGUAGGCGGUCUUUUAAGUCGGGGGUGAAAUCCUGGAGCUCAACUCCAGAACUGCCCUCGAUACUGGAAGACUCGAGUCCGGGAGAGGUGAGUGGAACUGCGAGUGUAGAGGUGAAAUUCGUAGAUAUUCGCAAGAACACCAGUGGCGAAGGCGGCUCACUGGCCCGGUACUGACGCUGAGGUGCGAAAUCGUGGGGAGCAAACAGG